UACGUAGGGGGCAAGCGUUGUCCGGAUUUAUUGGGCGUAAAGAGCGUGUAGGCGGCUUUACAGGUCCGUUGUGAAAACUCGAGGCUCAACCUCGAGACGCCGGUGGAAACCGUAAAGCUAGAGUCCGGAAGAGGAGAGUGGAAUUCCUGGUGUAGCGGUGAAAUGCGCAGAUAUCAGGAGGAACACCCGUGGCGAAAGCGGCCACCUGGACUGCACCUGACGCUGAAACGCGAAAGCUAGGGGAGCGAACGGG
rnacentral:rRNA from 1 species